AGAAAGCCUUCUCCACCGGUAGUUCUAAAGUUUUUGUAUCAAGAGCUAAACCAAAUCCAAGCAUUCACCUUGAAAGAGAAUCAUCUAGUAAUCAAAUGAAGAUUGAAUUUCAUUUUCAGUAUACUAAGGAGAAUUCUCACCCUGCAGGAGAAAGCCUUCUCCACCGGUAGUUCUAAAGUUUUUGUAUCAAGAGCUAAACCAAAUCCAAGCAUUCACCUUGAAAGAGAAUCAUCUGGUAAUCAAAUGAAGAAGGUACCGUUCUUGUUUUCCUUGACAAGCUAGGUGUUACCAUUAGCAACAAUGUUGUUUGGGGAACUGGUAUCAUGUUCAGGAGCAGGGAAGAAGAUUGAAUUUCAUUUGUCAGUAUACUUAGGAAGUGCAAUUGUCUUGUUUUGCAGG
rnacentral:lncRNA from 1 species